AUUGAACGCUGGCGGCAUGCUUUACACAUGCAAGUCGAACGGACUUAGGUGCUUGCACCUAGGUUAGUGGCGAACGGGUGAGUAAUGCAUCGGAACGUACCGUGUAAUGGGGGAUAACGCAGCGAAAGUUGUGCUAAUACCGCAUACGAUCUACGGAUGAAAGCAGGGGAUCGCAAGACCUUGCGUUAUACGAGCGGCCGAUGUCGGAUUAGCUAGUUGGUAGGGUAAAGGCCUACCAAGGCAACGAUCCGUAGCGGGUCUGAGAGGAUGAUCCGCCACACUGGGACUGAGACACGGCCCAGACUCCUACGGGAGGCAGCAGUGGGGAAUUUUGGACAAUGGGCGCAAGCCUGAUCCAGCCAUGCCGCGUGAGUGAAGAAGGCCUCGG
rnacentral:rRNA from 1 species